GAUGAAGAACGUAGCGAAAUGCGAUAAAUAAUGUGAAUUGCAGAAUUCAGUGAAUCAUCGAGUCUUUGAACGCACAUCGCGCCCCCUGGUAUUCCGGGGGGCAUGCCUGUCCGAGCGUCAUUGCUGCCCUCAAGCACGGCUUGUGUGUUGGGCCCCCGUCCCCCCCUCCCGGGGGACGGGCCCGAAAGGCAGCGGCGGCACCGCGUCCGGUCCUCGAGCGUAUGGGGCUUUGUCACCCGCUCUGUAGGCCCGGCCGGCGCCUGCCGACCACCAUCAAUCUUUUUUCAGGUUGACCUCGGAUCAGGUAGGGAUACCCGCUGAACUUAAGCAUAUCAAUAAGCGGAGGA
rnacentral:misc_RNA from 1 species